rnacentral:rRNA from 1 species
AUUGAACGCUGGCGGCAGGCCUAACACAUGCAAGUCGAGCGGAUGAAGGGAGCUUGCUCCUGGAUUCAGCGGCGGACGGGUGAGUAAUGCCUAGGAAUCUGCCUGGUAGUGGGGGAUAACGUCCGGAAACGGGCGCUAAUACCGCAUACGUCCUGAGGGAGAAAGUGGGGGAUCUUCGGACCUCACGCUAUCAGAUGAGCCUAGGUCAGAUUAGCUAGUUGGUGGGGUAAAGGCCUACCAAGGCGACGAUCCGUAACUGGUCUGAGAGGAUGAUCAGUCACACUGGAACUGAGACACGGUCCAGACCCCUACGGGAGGCAGCAGUGGGGAAUAUUGGACAAUGGGCGAAAGCCUGAUCCAGCCAUGCCGCGUGUGUGAAGAAGGUCUUCGGAUUGUAAAGCACUUUAAGUUGGGAGGAAGGGCAGUAAGUUAAUACCUUGCUGUUUUGACGUUACCAACAGAAUAAGCACCGGCUAACUUCGUG